GGAACCUGGUUGAUCCUGCCAGUAGUCAUAUGCUUGUCUCGAAGAUUAAGCCAUGCAUGUCUUAGUGUAAACCUUAGUACGGUAGAACUGCGAGAAGCUCCUUAAAAGAGUUGUAAUCUACGAUUUUCCUUCAUCCUAUAUGGAUAACCACGGGAAACCGAGGCUAAUACAUGUACAUCAUUUUAUGUCUUCGGAAAUAAAAUGAUGCCAACGGCAGACUGAAUCCUUUACCGGUGGAAGUCCAAGUUGGGAGUGACCGUUCAAGCGAAUGGCGAAAUUCAUGAGCAACUCACCUAUCAGCUAGUUGGUAGGGUAAUGGCCUACCAAGGCGAUGACGGGUAACAGAGGAUUAGGGUCCGAUCCUGGAGAAGGAGCCUUAGAGACAGCUGCUACUUCUAAGGAUGGCAGCAGGCGCGCAAAUUACCCCAUGCUAAUUCAGUGAGGUAGUAAAGAGACAUACCGGCAUAUUGUUCUCCUCACGGAGUCGAUAUGAUUGGAAUGAACGUAAUGUAUAAAGCUCGAUGAGUAACUAUUAGAGGACAAGUCUUGGUGCCAGCACCCGCGGUAAUUCCAGCUCUAAGAGCAUAUAUUAAAAUUGCUGCACUUAAAAAGCUCGUAGCCUGAUUUAGGUCAUAAUUUUGUAUUAGUUGAUUUUCUGUCUUCGGAUAGAAAUGAGACGAAAUACUAUCCAAAUUAUGUUCCUCCUUACUUACACUCACAUCUGGUCUUAACUGAUUGAAUGUAGCCGAUGAGUAAAAGGGUAAAACCGAUGAAAGUCUGAGUUGUAUAGUAAACCUACCUUGAAUAAACUAGUGUGUCCAUUGCAAGCCUGAAAGCCUGUUGAAUAAUCAGCAUGGUAUAGGGUUAAUCGGCUCUCGCUGCGUGUUUUUAGGAAUUUCGGAAGCGUUGAGCCACGAUCGACGGGGGUGGUCGGGGGCAUGAGUACUUGAGCGCGAGGGGUGAAAUCCGUAGACCGUUCAAAGACUACCAGAAGCGAAAGCGCUUGCCUAGUACAUCUCGCUCGGUCAAGAACGAAAGUUGGGGGAUCGAAGACGAUCAGAUACCGUCGUAGUCCCAACCGUAAACGAUACUGCCCAAUCCCUUGAUAUAUAUUUCCGAAGUCGGAAUUGUUAAAGGCCUUAUGAGAAAUCUUGAGGUACUGAGUUGUGGGGGGAGUAUGGUCGCAAGACUGAAACUUAAAGGAAUUGACGGAAAGGCACACCAGGAGUGGAAUCUGCGGCUUAAUUCGACCCAACACGGGGAAACUUACUAGGUCCAGAACAUUUAGUGAUUGACAGAUUUGAGAUCUUUCUAGAUUAGUGUGUUGGUGGUGCAUGGCCGUUCUUAGUUGGUGGAGUGAUUUGUCUGGUUGAUUCCGAUAACGAACGAGACCUUAGUCUAUUAGUUGGCCGCUAUAGAAAUAUGCAGUAAAAAGAUAAUCGUGUAGUACUCUAUACUUUUAUCCAUGCAUUUCUACUGAACCUUCCUAAGGAGAUAGGUGAGUACAGAGAUAAUCCAAGUCACAAGAAAUUUAAGGCAAUAACAGGUCUGUGAUGCCCUUCGAUGUCCUAGGCUGCACGCGCAUUACAAUGAAGGAGGUAGAUAGCUGCUUACUACUACCAUAAUCAAAUAGAGCAUAUUAUGGCAAUCUUAGGCUAGCUCUAAACAGGGAUUGUACAUUGUAAUUUGUACAUAAACGAGGAAUUCCUAGUAUGCGUAAAUCACCAAUUUGCGCAGAUUACGUCCCUGCCUUUUGUACACACCGCC
rnacentral:rRNA from 1 species